AUAUGUGUUGUUGGCAUCGACUUCCUAUGGUUGGGCAAUGGCUUCCGCCUUCCGGACCAGGUGACGUCAGUGGUCUGGAUUUCUGCCAGUGUUCUCCUGCCCAGGAAACGGACUUCCGGCCAGGGCUCCCAGCGGUCUCUGUCUUCCUGGAGCGGCAGACCUCUCAAGUUGCAGUGAGAGACUGAAAAUCAGAUCUCGGGGAAACUUUCAUCAUGGAGAAGGAGAAGGAGCAGCGGAAGACACUAUGGAGAGAAAGCUGGGCACAAGGGCAAAGUAGCUGUGGGAGGAUGACUGUCUGGUGGUCAUCAGUCUGAAGCUUGGCCCCUUGUCUGAAAAGAAGGUCUCUGCCUUCUGGACGAUCUGCUGAGAACACAAAGCUGCUUCUUGAAGCUGGGUGGUUGGCUUUCCUCACCCGACCAGACCCAGCUGGGAGGCACCCUUCUAGCUGUGCCACAGGAAGAUCUGCACAGACAAUUGAAACAACCCAAAUGUCAGAUUUAUGGAGGUCAUGUGUCCUGAGUAUCCACAUCAAGAUACAAACAAGCAAUGAAGCCAGGAAAUUCCAGUUUUCUAACUGGAGCAGACUGGAGACCGAGGGAAGAGAAGUGGACAGCAAAAGGGAGGAAUGGGACGCAGAAUUGGAACCUGUCUUCCUCUAUGUUCACCUGCUAUCCAGGGCAUCUCUGUAUCAUUAAUACCAGUUGCUAUUGUUUGGAAGCACAGAAAAGAUGUCACCUCAAUUUUGUAACAACUUGAUCAUGAGGAAAUGAUCUAGAAUCUGGGCCCAGGAGUAAAGAGAGCUCCCCUCAGGGCAGGAGAAUAUGCACCACUUCUUCCAUCCUUCAGAUUCUGAACAUUUCCAUUCCAUGUUCAAACACCCUCCACUUUCACCCUCAACCUUCUGACUGAGAAACAAAACACACAAACACAAACCCUGACUGUGUUCUACAAACAAGCUAAGGUGAAGAAGGUAUUCAGCUCCUCAGAUGGAAAGAACAGAGAGACACCCAAACUACCUUCAGGGAGGUGCUUUUUCCAAGGCUACACAGGUAAGAAAGAUAGGAAAUGGCUCUCCAUCUUGCAAGAUGGUCAGUGGAAAAGCUGAGAAGCGGGACACUAAGAAGAAACCUGAAGCCAAGCAGGCCAAUGCUGGUGGCAAGGUUAAGAACAGUAACCCCAAGGCUAAAAUGCCAAAGAAGGGGAAAGCCUACUGCAGCCAAUAGAUACCCUAUCCUAGUCAGAGGAUGUGUGUUCCAGAAGGGCUCUGUGCGAUAGGACAUAUCAGCAGCUAGAUCCAGGGUGGAAAAGAAAAAAGAGAAGGUUCUUGCUACGGCCACGAACUGGUUGGUGGUGACCAGAAUGUUGGUACCCACGAAGUUCAACUUGGCCCAAUGCCUAAGAAUCAUCCUGCUGAAGAUGUGUCUUGAAAGCAGUUGAACCUCGCAAAAACCCUUUCAGUCAGCGCAUGAGAAAACCAAGCUGGCAUCACUCCUGGGGCCAUUUUGAUCCUCUUCACUGGACACCACAGAGGACACCACAAAGGCAAGAGGUGGUUUUCCCGAGGCAGCUGAGCGGUAGCUUGCUACUUGUGACUAGACCCCUGGCCCUCAGUCCUCUGUGUAGAACACACCAGAAAUUUGUCAUUGCCACCUCCACCCAGACAUGUCAUGGAGGUGUACUUCAAGAAGAAGAAGCUGCAUAAACCCAGACACCAGCAAGGUGACAUGAUUCUUUAUAUGGAAAACCCAAAAGACUCCACCCCC